ensembl:lncRNA
GCUUCUUAACCAGAGGGGGAGGGCUCCUUCUUCAUUGCUCUCAUUCAAGCCAGCUCAUCUUUUCAGAGUCAGCUCAGAUGGCACCUUCUCUCUGGGACUUUUCCUGAAUCUCACAGACAAAAGUUGGCAGUCUCCUUCUGGGGGUACUCACAGUGUUUUUCUCAGCCUGUUUUUUCUGUCCAUGUGUGUGUUUUGCUAAGUUGGGAGUUCCUCAAGGCGGAGCCUUCUCUUCUUCCAGAAAGAGUGUGGAAUGCUCCAGAAAUAUGCAAGACCCUCCAGAGAUGAGGAAGACAAUCACAGAGUGUCUGUUCUAAACAGUCCUUUAAUGGAGGCUGGGGGAUCCAAGUAGAUUUGAAUCUUAACCCUAGGCGUGAGACAGAAAUUCUCCCCUCAGAGCCUGUUUCCCCAUCUGUUUGGUAAGAGGCUUGAAGUGACUGAUUGUCUAAAGAGGUUCUGAGCUGAGAGUAUUCGGGUUCUAAGAAGGGCUGUGAGACAGUGCGGCCCUGCAGUAUCCUAUCAAUCCGGCUCUUUAAUUCCCCUCCUUUCCCUCUGCACUGGGAGACCUGCCUUGUAAACAAACGGAAGUCAGGCCAGGAGGCUCCGCAAAAUACACCACCUCUGCUGCUGCUGCUGCUAAGUCGCUUCAGUCGUGUCCGACUCUGUGCGACCCCAUAGACGGCAGCCCACCAGGCUCCUCCAUCCAUGGGAUUCUCCAGGCAAGAAUACUAGAGUCUCUGGGAGCCCAGGACCUUCACAAACAGCGCUCCGAUCACCAUUCUCUGCAACCCAGAGACCUGCCCUCCCUUUUCUGGUGUUUACAGAACAAUAAGAAAGCGAGGGUAGGUGCAGAAAGGCCGUGUCAGUCCAGGCCUCUGAGGGUGUGGGUGCCGAGAGGAGGAGCCGGCAGCCCAGACCUCUCCCCAUUGGGCAGACUCCACAGAGUGACUCCUUGGGACUGAGCCCCACCUGCCCUCAGGACCCAUUUCUGUUCUGCACGGGGCCUGCUCAGCUGGACACUUUAUACAAAAAAUCUAUGCAUUAUUUUGAAUCAAGCUCAAAAGGAGGCCUUGCUACCUGAAGGUACAGACACUCAGACGUUCAGACUGUCGUCGAUGGAGUAGCCACCAUGGAGGUUAAGGAGCCCGUAUGAGGGUGAUGCUCUCUGCACACUCCGAUUGAAGAUUUGAAGACCUGAUGGACCGUGCGUGUUAGGAGGGACAGGUGGCUGGAACUCUAUUUGCAGUCAGCAAGGAACCCUACUGCCUUCAGCCUCCCCGCAGUGCCAGCAGGGCCUGCAGAAUGGGCACCGGCUAGAUGGCGGAUUCCCGUUCAGGAGGCUGAGCCAGCCCGGAGCAGCCUGCCAGGGAAGCCAGUGUGUGCUGUGAGCCGGCAUGAACCACCCCAUCCAUCUUCCUCUUCCACCCCCCACUACUUUAUGUCCCGUAUCUUCACUGCAAA